rnacentral:rRNA from 1 species
AAUAGAUACCCUGGUAGUCCACGCCCUAAACGAUGUCAACUAGUUGUCGGGUCUUAACGGGCGUUGGUAACGCAGCUAACGCGUGAAGUUGACCGCCUGGGGAGUACGGUCGCAAGAUUAAAACUCAAAGGAAUUGACGGGGACCCGCACAAGCGGUGGAUUAUGUGGAUUAAUUCGAUGCAACGCGAAAAACCUUACCUACCCUUGACAUGUACCGAAGCCCGCUGAGAGGUGGGUGUGCCCGAAAGGGAGCGGUAACACAGGUGCUGCAUGGCUGUCGUCAGCUCGUGUCGUGAGAUGUUGGGUUAAGUCCCGCAACGAGCGCAACCCUUGUCAUUAAUUGCCAUCAUUCAGUUGGGCACUUUAAUGAAACUGCCGGUGACAAACCGGAGGAAGGUGGGGAUGACGUCAAGUCCUCAUGGCCCUUAUGGGUAGGGCUUCACACGUAAUACAAUGGCGCGUACAGAGGGUUGCCAACCCGCGAGGGGGAGCUAAUCUCAGAAAGCGCGUCGUAGUCCGGAUCGGAGUCUGCAACUCGACUCCA